CCAACACGCGUGAACAUAAUCGCAUGAUUAAACGGCUUUCUAUAUGUUUAUGUAGCUGCGUGUCUCGCUUGGGGAUUUGACAGUUCUCGGAAGAAGAAAAGGGAAAUGGCGGAGAACAUGGUUGCUCAGGAAUGGGGGCGUAAUUAAAAGAAAAAAAAACUAUUCAUCCAUCCCAGCACCUUUAAUUCAUCUGUCCGUUCUUCAGCCUGUUUACCGAUAAAGUCUGGCUGUAUUUCAAAACGUAAAUAUAUCCGGAAGGAGUCUCCAGUGUCAGUGCUGUGAAUCAGUCAGCAACUCCCCCAGCUUUUUGUUGAUUUAGUGGUGAAGGGGUGUGGCCAAGGGUCAGAUGAGCAGACACCCAGUAUAUUUUACAGCAGAACAUCAUAGGAGGAACCCGGAGAACCUAUAGAGAACCCACAGAGACAUGGGGGCAGCAAGUCCACACAGGCAGUCCUUAAAACAGCUCUGAUUCAUCGAGGCCUGGAUGCCACAGGACCUCUGAAGGUAUGCUGUGGU